rnacentral:misc_RNA from 1 species
AACUUUCAGCAACGGAUCUCUUGGCUCUCGCAUCGAUGAAGAACGCAGCGAAUCGCGAUAUGUAAUGUGAAUUGCAGAUCUACAGUGAAUCAUCGAAUCUUUGAACGCACCUUGCGCUCCUCGGUGUUCCGAGGAGCAUGCCUGUUUGAGCGUCAGUAAAUUCUCAACCCCUCUCGAUUUGCUUCGAGUGGGGCUUGGAUAGUGGGGGCUGCCGGAGACCUGGAAUUCAUUCUGGGACUCGGGCUCCUCUGAAAUGCAUCGGCUUGCGGUCGACUUUCGACUUUGCGCGACAAAGCUUUCGGCGUGAUAAUGAUCGCCGUUCGCUGAAGCGCAUGAAUGAACGGUCCCGUGCCUCUAAUCAGUCGACGCCUUCUGGGCGUCUUCCUUAUAGACGUUUGACCUCAAAUCAGGUAGGACUACCCGCUGAACUUAAGCAUAUCAAUAAGCGGAGGCU